GAUCAUGGCUCAGAGUGAACGCUGGCGGUAGGCCUAACACAUGCAAGUCGAACGGCAGCACAGUAAGAGCUUGCUCUUAUGGGUGGCGAGUGGCGGACGGGUGAGGAAUACAUCGGAAUCUACCUUUUCGGUGGGGGAUAACGUAGGGAAACUUACGCUAAUACCGCAUACGACCUGGUGAAGACGAGGGACCGUCGGUCCGUCGCGCGGAGUAGAUGAGCCGAUGUCGGUAGUUAGUCUAGUUGGGUACGGGGG
rnacentral:rRNA from 1 species